rnacentral:rRNA from 1 species
AUUGAACGCUGGCGGAAUGCUUUACACAUGCAAGUCGAACGGCAGCACGGGGCAACCUGGUGGCGAGUGGCGAACGGGUGAGUAAUACAUCGGAACGUGCCCAAUCGUGGGGGGAUAAACGUAGCGAAAGUUAUGCUAAUACCGCAUACGAUCUACGGAUGAAAGCGGGGGAUCGCAAGACCUCGCGCGAAUGGAGCGGCCGAUGUCAGAUUAGGUAGUUGGUGGGGUAAAGGCUCACCAAGCCAACGAUCUGUAGCUGGUCUGAGAGGACGACCAGCCACACUGGAACUGAGACACGGUCCAGACUCCUACGGGAGGCAGCAGUGGGGGAAUUUUGGGACAAUGGGCGCAAGCCUGAUCCAGCCAUUCCGCGUGCAGGAUGAAGGCC